rnacentral:rRNA from 1 species
GACGAACGCUGGCGGCGCGCCUAAUACAUGCAAGUUGAGCGCUGAAGGAUGGUACUUGUACCCACUGGAUGAGCAGCGAACGGGCGAGUAACGCGUGGGGAAUCUGCCUUUGAGCGGGGGAGAACAUUUGGAAACGAAUGCUAAUACCACAUAAAAACUUUAAACACAAGUUUUAAGUUUGAAAGAUGCAAUUGCAUCACUCAAAGACGAUCCCGCGUUGUAUUAGCUAGUUGGUGAGGUAAAGGCUCACCAAGGCGAUGAUACAUAGCCGACCUGAGAGGGUGGUCGGCCACAUUGGGACUGAGACACGGCCCAAACUCCUACGGGAGGCAGCAGUAGGGAAUCUUCGGCAAUGGACGAAAGGCUGACCGAGCACCGCCGGGUGAGUGAAGAAGGUUUUCGGAUCGUAAAACUCUGUUGGUAGAGAAGAACGUUGGUGAGAGUGGAAAGCUCAUCAAGUGACGGUAACUACCCAGAAAGGGACGGCUAACUACGUG